rnacentral:rRNA from 1 species
GAUGAACGCUGGCGGCGUGCCUAAUACACGCAAGUCGAGCGAACGGACGAGAAGCUUGCUUCUCUGAUGUUAGCGGCGGACGGGUGAGUAACACGUGGAUAACCUACCUAUAAGACUGGGAUAACUUCGGGAAACCGGAGCUAAUACCGGAUAAUAUUUUGAACCGCAUGGUUCAAAAGUGAAAGACGGUCUUGCUGUCACUUAUAGAUGGAUCCGCGCUGCAUUAGCUAGUUGGUAAGGUAACGGCUUACCAAGGCAACGAUGCAUAGCCGACCUGAGAGGGUGAUCGGCCACACUGGAACUGAGACACGGUCCAGACUCCUACGGGAGGCAGCAGUAGGGAAUCUUCCGCAAUGGGCGAAAGCCUGACGGAGCAACGCCGCGUGAGUGAUGAAGGUCUUCGGAUCGUAAAACUCUGUUAUUAGGGAAGAACAUAUGUGUAAGUAACUGUGCACAUCUUGACGGUACCUAAUCAGAAAGCCACGGCUAACUACG